AAGCGCGAGGCUAGGCAUUCCUAAAGCUUCCUUCGAACGGUGUAGGCUGUGUUUUUCUUGCGAUUCGAAGAGACUCCCGUCCUCCACAGCAAGAAUCACGAGUUAGAUACAGUCUCACCGUUUGAGAUGGCAUUGGGAUGGGCGAAGGGUGCAGCAGUUUCUGGUGGCCUCGGGGAUACCUUGGGAACCAAGACCUCGUGCUCACGAGCCUGUAUGCCUAUCGUCGGUGUGGUUUGUAGACUGUAUCGAAACCAAAGUUAUCCUUUUCAAAUAAUUCCAUUAAGUACCUUAGAAGCAGAGAUUGAGACUAUCGGAUUAAAUGUCGAGCUUGACGUCAUUGGAAAUAUCCAAGAUUAAUUCGGACUUCAUUUGGUUUAUUUACGAUAGAAUACUUGUACCUGAAUUUAUUUACUAUUUAAGUAAAUACACUUUAAACUGUUGAAAUUUAAUUUGCUCAAUGCCGGUUUGGGCUAACAAUGGGUAACGUGUUACAUUUAUAUUUCAGUCACGUAUACUGUACUAUUUACAAUUAUUUAUGCAAUUCGUAUUGAAUUUUUGUACCUAUCAGAGAUCACUUUAUAGACGGAGAAGAAGAAAAGCUAAGAGGAAAGAAUAAAGAAUUAUUUUUAUAGAAAAUAAUCUACCCCGAUACUUGAAAUUUAAUUCGUUAACUGUUAAUACGGCAAGAUUACGAUUUCCGUGGCGCCAAGGUUGACGGUUGACUAUUGUUGUAUACGAUGUGAACGAACAUCAUCUCAAAGGAAAAGUUGAUAUCUCAAUUGGUUUGGAAGAUAUUUUUUUUUUUUCAUUUUGGAUGUAGUUGCGAGUGAUCGACAACCAUUUUUUUUUUGUAAGGAAUUUUCUAUAAAAUUGCUUAUAUGUAUUUUUUUUUGUAUCUGUCAUAGUUUGAGAUAUUGCGAGUCGAAUUUCGAAGGAACGUGUAUCUCGCACAGUGUUCAAGAUAUAAACAAAAAAUGAAAAUAGUUAAUAUCUCCCAAACUAAUUGAGAUAUCAACUUUUCCUCUUAGAUGUUUGCUCAUAUCAUACGCAACCAUAACCAACUGUCAAACCUUGGCGCCGCGGAAACCGUAGUAUCCCCAUUAAUACCAUAAAUCCUUUUCAGUCGAACGUUCGUCCUAGAAUCCUAUCGUGAGCCGGAGACCCCAAUGCGAUAGAUGCGCGAGCCAUCUACUGCGAGGAGUGGCGUCAUUGGCCCGUUUCAUGCGCUGUAAGGUUGAAAAUAUUUCAUAUUCGGGGGCAAGGAGAGAAGGUCUGUUUCUAGAAGGCCAUAAGAGGUGCAACCCUGGCUAUGGCGUACGUUGGUCGCACAGGCAUCGAUCACUUCGCACACCUUUGCACCUCCUUUCCGCAAACGGGCCCGCUCGUCGUUAAGUCACCUUCCGCAAAGAAAGCCAUGACACUGCUCGAAGAAGUAUUCAGGCGGUGAGCUGAUCGUUUUACUUGACCUCGCAGAAAAAGUGUGCUUCCUCAGGUCCGGAAGAAUCCACGGGCCAAGCGGUAUUUUCAAGGCCUCGCCCUCGAAGUUAACGGGAGCCCGUCUCUGUCCCUGGGUUCAUCCCAAAAUGACAACGCUCACCCAACACCGAAGCAGAUUUUGAAACAUUGGUUACGGAGCCACCCAAAGAUCGUUCUCAUCCCCCGAUUGCUCUAGGAAAUAGAAUUCUCCAGGUAUGGAGGUAUUGCAUGUCUCGCAAGAAAAAUGAUCAAAACGAGUAGCGUGUUCCGAGCUUGAUGUACCGAACGCAUCCGAACGGUGAUACGAUGGUGCAUUUACAAGCACGACCUGGGAGUCAUUUUUCAAUGGAAAGAGGAAAACGACUACAUGCGAAUACAUUAGACGUACGCUCGCUGCCUUCGGGCUCGGAAUAACCGUGUUUUCACAGAUGCAUUCGAGAGAGAAAGAGAGAGGUGUUGCGUUUAACUGCACAAGGGGGAGAAUGUCGAGGUGUCCACAUGACCCUUCUCACGGUCGCGGCAAUUAGACAGAUACGCGCGAGCAUUUCUUUUAGGUAGAAGAAAGCUGUUUGCCGGGACACCGAAGAGAGGUACGAUUUACGUUAAAGGAAACGCUUCCUGAAGAUUAUUAGCGUUAAUGUAUCAUGUACGAGGGGCUGGGGGGAAGUUGAAAAAUUCUUUUCGCUUCAGCGUAGCGCAGAACCGGUGCCCAUGGACCCUUGGCUUCUCCGAUCGUAACGAAGUUAACUGGCCACGUGGCGAGGUGUCCUGGUAUUAACGAAUCUUUAUCGGGGAUGGGCGGGGCGUAUGCAAUAAUUUUUUGAGCUCCAGGUAGAGCUACGGGCAGCCCCAUUAACUAAAAGGACGGGCUGCGAAGACCCUACCGACGAGCUGUACGUCUUCGUUGACCCAUUUCUCGUACCUAAUCUAGAAUCGUGUAUCAGGUAUCGAACUCCGAGAACUUCAGAGUCCUAGACCGGAUGAAUGGUGUUUGCGGGUUGUUCUGUUUUGCAUCGCAGGAGAUCCAGACCGACCCGUGCAACGUGUUAGUGCCCAUACGCCGGAGAGAAAGGUCGUGGUGGGAAGGCGAUACCUAUUUUGCGAGAGCCAGGUACUCCGUUACGGGGAGGGGGGCACGCAAUGGAUAUUGUUGUUUGAGCUUCAGGAACGUUUUGGCGUAACCGUGGAAUGACGAGGGAAUAACGAGAACGACGUUCCAAGCAGUAAGCUAACCGUAGACAGGAACAGGAGGAAUAGGAAGACUCGUUGAGGUACACACUCGAUCCAAAAGUCCAAAGCAGACGGUUACGUAGACCCCGGGAUACAUAGAAUGGAGGCGCACGUAUCCUUGCUGGUGCUUGUACGUACACGGGGAGGGGGGCACGCAAUGGACGGUUAUUUGAGCUUCAGGAAUGUUGAGACUUUGUGGAUAACGAGAGAUCGAAGACCCAGGAUACGAGUUCAGAAGUUGACGUAGACAUUGUAUCGGCGAGUGUUACUCGAGGGUCCGGACUAAUUGUUAUCGUACCCUGGAAGACGUGAGACGGAACUACGGUAUCCAAUUUCUACAAUUUCUACCAUUUCUACGUUGCCGGUGCUAAUUUUGCAACGGCUCGUGGCAUGCAAUGGACAUUGUUGUUUGAGCUUCAGGAAUGUUUUGACGUGUUUAAUGGAAUGCUAGAGUGCAGCUACAUAAAUUACAAGUUCGAUCGGUUGGGAAAGCAAAUACGUGACAGUCCAAUAGCUGACCCCAGCUUGUCGAAGGAUCAUUCAUCAUCGGUCGAGGUAAAAACGUUCAUGGCAUUUUCCGUCUUUUCGUAUCCGUGGAGAGAUAGUAUCUACGAUGUGGGGGGCCUCCGGGGAAGACAGCUCUCUUGCUUUGAGUCACAGGAAUCCGAGUCAAUGAUUACGACCGAGAGCGGGAAUAUCGUCCUCCUUGAAUGCGCAAGAAAAAUGCAAUAUGUUGACCCGAGGUAACGGAAGACCCCACCGACAGACCGGAGCGAAUUCUAAUUUCAUCCAAUACUUGUCAACAAUGUCAUCAUGGCAGAUUGGGACAACGAUUUUCUUUUGUACCGCAGACUGUACUGGAACGUGAUACAUAGCUGUUAGCAUGCACGAACGGAUCAAUUAGCCGAUCGAGAAUGAACGAGGUACGGUUCUUUGUGUCAAUUUUUUCCUUGUAUUUCUACCGUGUAGAUUUAGGGUAUAGCACGAAACACAGGAUUUCAUUCUCACGCGGAGGAACCGGAGAGUAUCCCGUUUAAUAGAAAUUCGAGGUAUUGCGAUUACUUUUUGGCAAAUUGGUCGGCAAUCCAUGGGGAGGGUCGUUGAAUUUUAAGCCGCAGGAAGAAAAAUUAACGAACCGCUGAAGCAGAACGUCAAUGAAAAGGAAGUAGAGUGAAAUUGUAUAGGAAGAGCGAAUCGAUGUAAUUUCCCUUGAAACUUAUUCCAUGUAAAGGAGAAAAAGCGGCGAUCACUUCGGGUUCGAAGUCUUCAGGUAACAGUGGAAUCACACAUUUCCGUAUUCUGAUGAUUGGUAUGAUGAACCAUUUUUUUUCAGUUUUGUCUUUAUUUCAAAGUAGGGAGGAGAGUGAGAGAAAAGUAAUUAUUUUAGACAGCAAGCAAAUUUGUGAAUUUUUUUAAGAUCUCGAAGAAAGCAUCUUGACUGCUUACGGGAAUUUAAUUUUAUCGCAAAGGUGAAUGAAUUCUAUUCGUAUUUUGUUGUUAGUUACAAUCUCUAAUGUCACCGAUAAGAGGGAGUUGUGUAAUUAUUGUUUGCGAUACAAAUGAGAAGUUCCUUCGUGAGACUGUGGAUAGUUAAAAAUUUGGGUACAAGUAUACUUAAGAACGAUAAGUCGUAACAAUGGCAUCAUACGAAGAUUUGCAAUGAGAGCGCAAGAAAAGAUUACUUUCCGCUACAAGAAAAGGAUAUUCACUAGUAGAGAAGAUUAUUGUCGAGUACUACGAGUUCUCGCGAUGGAAGUACUAUACGUCGUACAAGAAACUUCAUUAUAAAAACACCUGGGAAACGAAUAGUCUACCGAAGAUUUAUAUAUCCGAAGAUCUGCAAGUAACAAAUUUUACUCUCCACGUCGUAGUGCCAGGUAACGAAGCCUAGAGAAGACCCUCCGCAUUACAUCCAAUCUCUAUAUCUUUAACUACUAAUCUUUUUCCUUAUUUAAAUGGGCUAUGCACAUACAUUUUCGUUUGCUCCUUUGCCAAGUAUUUAAUCUCUGUACGGCGUAUUCUGUUAAUUGCUACUUUCUUUCCUUCACGACCUGUGAAAUCACUGUAUUCUAGAUUGAGCUUCACGUAAGAUUCGUUUUAACUCCUUGCGCAAGUUGAGCUCCAAGAAUAGUUGGUCGAUAUGGCUGGGACUUUGAUAACAGGGAAUCGAGCUAGCCGCUUAGAAGAAUGAGCCGCAACCCUCCAUUAUUAUAUGAGAAAAAAGAGAGAGAGAGGACUGCUUUUGUGCACUAUUAUGGAAUGAGUUCUAUUUAUAUUCGUAUAUCGGUGCUUAGUGUGUGGACCAUUGCGCUAUAAUUUGUGCAGUUUCAGUUUUGGUUUCAAAUUACGUAUAGUGUGAUGACAUUGUGCACCAAGAGAGUAUCAAGACACGUAGUUCGCGCUGUGAGUUUUUAUGCAAAAACGAACGUUUCCCUAGCCAAUUGUGAAUGUACGGAAUGUUACGAGCAAGAGGGAAUGAGUAUCCGCAAGAUUGCUGUAUAUUCGUGGCGCGCUACGUGGUGAGUUCACUUAAAAAAAGAAAAAUCAUAACUGUGAGGCGAAUCGAUAACUCGUCUCACGAUUCACGUUUGGGCCAAGAAGCAAUAUCUGUCGAGCAAAUUUGGCAAAGCUUGUAACAUUUUAUAAGAUUGGACUUUUUGUGCCGAGCGAUGACAGGACACCAUUUUUAUAUUCGUGGGAUUAUUAAUAAAUGCACGUUGGGGCGGGGGUGUGGGGGGGCACUAAUUUUCUUUCCGUAGUUUGAAGGUAUAUUCCAAGCAUGCCGAGACAUAGAUCGUUUGAGACGAAAGAAAGCCCACCUUGUCGAGCUAGUCCGCAAGUCUUUGGAAUUACGGCUUCUUCUGGAACACGUCUUGAAAAUGAUUUUACUCGACACCAAUGAUUUCUCAAGCACCGAUCAAGUUCAUUGGCAUGCUGGACUCUCUCCGAUCGCAAGGUCGAGGUGUGCUACUCGAAAGUUUACGGUGCAGCUUUCUGUGAGCCUGCUUUACGCUAACUCCUCUCGACUCGGAAUGCAUUCUCAGCCUAGGUGUUUCCAACAAGAAGUUACUUUUCUUCUUCUACUUCUUCUUCUUGUUCUUUUUCUUCUUCUCGAGAAAAUUAAUGCGGUAACGUGCGCGAUCGCUAGGACAUGUUCUCAAGAUUCGACGGUACUUGAAAACCAAGCUGUGGAGACGAAGCUUCGCAACCCGAGUUGCACAUCGAAGAAAACCUGGCACGGUUUAAGCGAGCCGUGAUCCUCUGUAGGACCGGAAAGGAAAUUUAUUAUUGCAGAUGCAGUUGCUUUAGAAUAGGAAAGCUAUUUUUUGUCGCCACUAGUACGCUAUUCGAAGAUUGAGCGAAAAGUAGUCUCGCCGGUACAAGCAUCUUGAAACUCGUAAAUAUUUGGAAGCGAUGCAAAAAUACGAAGACGAAGAGCACGAGGUUCUUUUCCAGUAGCGAAGUAAUCUGCCUGGUCGAUUAAUUGCGACGUCAAGUUUGUGGUCGAGAAAGUAACGAAUGACAAAGACCCCCCCUGGGAAAUCGGCAACAGCGAUAGAAUGUGAGUGGCAACGCCUUUUGUUCCCUUUCCUUUGCUGUAAGAUUGUUUUUAGAAUACGCUUUCCUGCGCACGAGAGCCGUUAGACUUUAGGGAAAACCUAUAAAGAAGAGGUCAAAGAGGAAAGCACGCAUCCGCGAAGGUUCCCGUUGCCGACGUGACUCGUUCCAUGCCAAUCCGCGGAGUCUGCAUGCGCUCAAUGUUCAUUGGAUUCCUGGUCGGAUCUCGUCUUGGAGUAUUGCUGCGACUCUUUUGGAUAUUCGUGCGAGGUCAACAUCCAAGGAAGGCUUCAUUUGGCAUCAACCCUUGGAAAGAUGCUCUUUGGAGUCCAGCUUUUCGUGCAGCCGAUCUUCAGGAUCCUGGGGAGAGUGGACUUCAGAGACGCAGCCAGGGAUUGACCUAGGAAGAUCUUCUGAAGAUGGUCUCUUAUCCGGGGUUCUUCUGGGUCGGACGAGAAAUCCAUUGGCGCGGUUGCGAGGGUAUUCGUCGAUGGAGUUGGCGGUCUUCCGAAGAGUCUUCUACUUCUCAAAUUCUAUGUCAAAGACGCGAGAUUCACUGGGGGGAUAGCUUUCAUUUUGGAGGACGUUCCUACGAAACUAGUUCGCCAUUCCGAAGCUUGAUACGAGCGCUCUUUUUAGAUCAAAAAGGAAUCUGCAUCGAAGAUCCGCGACAUUCAGUUCAGAAGAUUAAGGGGAGAUUUAAAAAAAUUCAUGUUUGAAUUUCAUAACAAAUUGUAGGUAUUGGAAGAUAAGCCAAGACUGACGCUGACACAGGUUCCAUAUGACAUUUUGAGAUUGAAAGCUUACAUUCGUACCCAGUUUAAAAAAAGGAAAAUGAUACAUUAAAAAAAAAGGCUAUUGAUACAGUUAAAAAAAAAGAAAUGAGUAAAAAUUAAAAAAGGAAAAAAUUUACUUAAAAAGGGGAAAAAAAAUAUUUAAACAGUCUACGAAUGAAGCUAGAAGAAUAGGGUUUAAGAUGCGACAGAUGAAAAUAACUUCUUAUUGCCGAAGAACGAAGGUGAAUCUUCACAAAUUGCAAAGAAAAAUUUGUAUACAAACUCGAUAACGAAUUAUUUACUGAAUACGCGAACGGAGAAAAGAAAAAACUGAGAAUUAAUCUUGAUGGACGGCGGCGAGGGAUCGACCUUGAAUAACAUUAAGAAGACCCAAGUGACGGCGGCGAGGGACCAUUCCUGGUGGACGGCGGCGAGGGACCAUUCCUGAUGGACGGCAGCGUGGGACCAUUCCCGGUGGACGGCGGCGUGGGACCAUUCCCGGUGGACGGCGGCGUGGGACCAUUCCUGAUGGACGGCGGCGAGGGACCUACCAUUGACUCGGAUGAUGGUGUCGUCAACCUGGUGACACGGCGGGGACGUCCGAUACGGACAAACUCCGUGACAACGGUGAACAGGACCGGUGGCAUCGAUAUCUUUCCACGGUACGUGGUACCGACGGAAUCAACUAUACCAAUGUUCCGGUUUAGAGGAUUUGGACGUCAAGUUUAUCACUUUAAAGGACGACAUCGUGACACUUUCUCGAGCUUCGUACUACUGAACUUGAGCGGACCACUCUGGAAGAUCGAGAGUAGAGAAUUAUAUCUACGGAUGCAUCGAAAGCAUUCUACGUAGAAGCAAAGAUCUAUCGUGAUGACGUAAACCAUUUUUGGAGCAACUUUAUCUUUUCGAUGCAAGUUUGGACAUCCCCGAGCACUAAACGAUGGUGCACGUUGGAAACAACGGCAUUUAUGUGAAUUGACAACAGCAGCCUAAAAAAUGGUACUAGGGCAGUCGGUGCGCGAUCUCUGCUAAUAUGCAAUGAGUUCGAUUAACGUUAUACCAUUCGGGGGACUCCAAAGUGAUACUUGUUUGGACGACACCAUCCAGAGAUGAUCACGAUGCAACGUAAACUAGAACUAAUGCACUUAAUUUCUUGGAUGGAAUUCAAAAAAUGAUGGAAACAUCUACGAUAUCGAACUUGCAUUGACGGCGGCGUGGGACUUCAUGGGAUUUGGAAAGAUUUCUUCGGACUGCGGCGUGGGACUUCGUGGGAUUUCGAAAAGUUUCGGGACUACAUCGUGGGACAUCGUGGGCUACAUCGCGGGACUUCGCGGGACUUCGCGGGACUUCGCGGGACUUUACGGGACUUUACGGGACUUCGCGGGACUUCGGGGAAGGCAGCUAAUGUACUUCAUUGAGGAGCAUCAUUUAAAUUAGUCUAGUCAAAUUCAACAAGCAAUACUUUACGACCUUAGAACUUAAAAGUAUUGAGAUUAGAACGGACUGAAAUUAUUUCAGGGUAUAUAAGAAACCUAAGAAAAAAUGCAGUUAUUGAUAUAACCCAUAUAUUAUUUAAGUUAUGCAAUUAAGAUAUUUCUGUUGUAACGAAUGUGGAUAAAAUCGUUUUUAUAUAUUAUGGAAAAUGUUAUAUAAAAUGAUAUUAAGAAAAAUAUAGGUAUUGAAAUUGAA